rnacentral:rRNA from 1 species
CCUACGGGAGGCAGCAGUGGGGAAUAUUGCACAAUGGGCGCAAGCCUGAUGCAGCCAUGCCGCGUGUGUGAAGAAGGCCUUCGGGUUGUAAAGCACUUUCAGCGGGGAGGAAGGCGGUGAGGUUAAUAACCUCAUCGAUUGACGUCACCCGCAGAAGAAGCACCGGCUAACUCCGUGCCAGCAGCCGCGGUAAUACGGAGGGUGCAAGCGUUAAUCGGAAUUACUGGGCGUAAAGCGCACGCAGGCGGUCUGGCAAGUCGGAUGUGAAAGCCCCGGGCUCAACCUGGGAACUGCAUUCGAAACGGGCAGGCUAGAGUCUUGUAGGGGGGGGUAGAAUUCCAGGUGUAGCGGUGAAAUGCGUAGAGAUCUGGAGGAAUACCGGUGGCGAAGGCGGCCCCCUGGACAAAGACUGACGCUCAGGUGCGAAAGCGUGGGGAGCAAACAGGAUUAGAUACCCGUGUAGUC